AGUUAAACAGUACGUGAAAUUGUUGAAAGGGAAACGAUUGAAGCCAGUCGUACCUUCGGGUAAUCAGCCUUUCGGGUGCGAUUCUGUGGGGUUUGAGGAGCUUAACACCUUCAUGCUUUGCAUAUUCGUGCUCUUGGGUGUACUUGCCCGUGUGGUUGGUUAACAUCAAUUUCGGGCACCAUAAAAUGGCUGGAGGAAUGUAGCUUCGAUCUUGUAUUGAAGUGUUAUAGCCUUCGGUAGAUGUGGUGAUCGAGAUUGAGGAUUGCAACGGAUACCUUUCGGGGCUACCUGUCUGAUCUCUGAUCGUUGCUUUGGUGCUGAAAGCGUGCUUAUAGUUAUCAAAGUCGAUGGUCAAUAGGUUAGAAUGGGUUAAAUUCGUUAAGGAUGUUGACGUAAUGGCUUUAAA
rnacentral:misc_RNA from 1 species